rnacentral:rRNA from 1 species
CCUACGGGUGGCAGCAGUGGGGGAUAUUGCACAAUGGGGGGAACCCUGAUGCAGCGACGCCGCGUGGGUGAAGGAGCGUUUCGGCGCGUAAAGCCCUAUCGGCAGGGAAGAAGAUGACGGUACCUGACCAAGAAGCCCCGGCUAACUACGUGCCAGCAGCCGCGGUAAUACGGAGGAUGCGAGCGUUAUCCGGAUUUAUUGGGUUUAAAGGGUGCGUAGGCGGAAUAUCAAGUCAGCGGUAAAAAUUCGGGGCUCAACCCCGUCGUGCCGUUGAAACUGAUGUUCUUGAGUGGGCGAGAAGUAUGCGGAAUGCGUGGUGUAGCGGUGAAAUGCAUAGAUAUCACGCAGAACUCCGAUUGCGAAGGCAGCAUACCGGCGCCCAACUGACGCUGAAGCACGAAAGCGUGGGUAUCGAACAGGAUUAGAUACCCUAGUAGUC